UAUCACCGAUAAUCGGGGAAGAAGAAUAACGAGGAUGGGGAAGCCAUCACUCGUAAUACAGCUGCCCCGUGCGUAACAGAUAUUUUGAGGAGUUCUUUUGAGCGUAUUUGGGAAAGAGUUGGUGUGGAGAAUUUUGAGGAGAAUUUUGAGGAGAAUUUUGAGGAGAGUUUAGAGGAGGAUUGUUCGAGGAGGUUGUGAGAUUAAUUGCCAGAGGAUUGCGUGUAGAGAAUAGUGGAGGAAUUGGUGGAAGACGUGCCCGUCGAAGAUUCAAGACAUACCCAGGAGUGACGAACGGAAGCAAGGUCAUUGUGUGGAUUAUUUGUUUUGUGUGCUGAGAAUCUCUCAGGAAGGAUUAUAAUAACCGCAAUACCCGAUUAGGUAACAACGGGUCAGGGAUUAUAUCGAACGAUAAUUCAAGUCUCCGAUGACUCAGUACGUCUGGAAUCGCGGAUAAAUAAGCAUGUUUCACACUCAGGAGGGGCCCUUCCAUGGAGGGAGGCAUGAGAUUACUACGUGAGCACUCGAUAUAGGACAGCGCAGUGUUCAUGCAUGGCCCCCCACGGCGAAUGGUUUUGUUGUUGAGUGAGUGAACAAAAAUAUGGCUCUUUUUGUUGUCCUGGUCUUUAAAUGUAUCAACAUGUGUUGUUGUGACGCCGAUAACCGCUAUAAUUGGGUAAUACAAAGAGCAGUAUACAAAUUGCAACGUAUGGAGGAAACUAUUUAUCUCUCCAACAUACGGUUGUCAGAUUCGU